UGAAUCUUCAUAUCCUGAGGAUAUGAACAGAAGAAAAUUCUAUCAACUGAAACAAAAGACAAAACAUACCUUAGGAGCCUGUGGAUUCAGAGAUGUCUCAAGCAGUGAGGGAGAACUUGACUGAUCUUAAGAGAAUCCAUCAAAUCAAGAUAUCCAUGCUGGGGACGUAGACAGAGAGGUUUCAUCUCCGCCCAGCCCAGGUCCCACCACCCCAUGAGGACUGGAGGGAGCCUC
rnacentral:lncRNA from 1 species